UACGUAGGGUGCGAGCGUUGUCCGGAAUUAUUGGGCGUAAAGGGCUCGUAGGCGGUUUGUCGCGUCGGGAGUGAAAACCUCGGGCUUAACUCGGGGCUUGCUUUCGAUACGGGCAGACUAGAGGUAUGCAGGGGAGAACGGAAUUCCUGGUGUAGCGGUGAAAUGCGCAGAUAUCAGGAGGAACACCGGUGGCGAAGGCGGCUUUCUGGGCCUUACCUGACGCUGAGACGCGAAAGCGUGGGGAGCGAACCGG
rnacentral:rRNA from 1 species